GUUGGAGCCAUACCUUCAGGUUCCUGGUGGAGCAGAGCUUAGCUGGAGUCUUCUCUAACUAUUCUAAUGCAUCUUCCUGCUCAUGUUCCAGGGGGUCCUUAAUGGCCUGGCCCAUGUUGAUCUGCAUGCCCUGCACAUACAGGCAUAGAGAGAGGUCAGUUGAGGGCAUCUUCCGUUCCACUACCCUGCCAGCCAACACCAUCCCUUGAGUGGAUGACAGAAAGGAAACAACUCAGAAUGGAGUUCAACAUCUUGCCUAAACCAGGCUUAGGAGCAAAAGGUCACUCCUUCUCUUUUUUCUCAUCUUCAUUUUCUGUGCUCAGUUCAAGGACUUUCUACAACAGCUUUGGACAGCCACUGAAACACAUUUUUCAGGUGGGUGUACAUCUGAGGGGAAGCA